rnacentral:rRNA from 1 species
AACGCUGGCGGCGUGCCUAAUACAUGCAAGUCGAACGCGCCCGAAUAGGUGCUUGGCUCUUCAUCGACUGAAGUUGUGCAACGGGCUGAGGUAACACAUGUGAGUACUGACCAUCGAGGGCGGUGCUAUACAUAAUGCGAGAAGCAUGCAUAUUACCACAUAAUACUUAUACUCGCUAUGAUACAAAGUCCGAAAUGGCCCGACGUGGUCACCUAGGCUAUGGGUCCUCCUUGCAUUAUGUGACCCGGUGGGUUAAAGCGCCUACGAACGAUGCUACCCUGAGCUAGAGAACUGAUCGCCAUUGGGC